GAUGAACGCUGGCGGCGUGCCUAAUACAUGCAAGUCGAGCGAACGGACGAGAAGCUUGCUUCUCUGAUGUUAGCGGCGGACGGGUGAGUAACACGUGGAUAACCUACCUAUAAGACUGGGAUAACUUCGGGAAACCGGAGCUAAUACCGGAUAAUAUUUUGAACCGCAUGGUUCAAUAGUGAAAGACGGUCUUGCUGUCACUUAUAGAUGGAUCCGCGCUGCAUUAGCUAGUUGGUAAGGUAACGGCUUACCAAGGCAACGAUGCAUAGCCGACCUGAGAGGGUGAUCGGCCAAACUGGAACUGAGAAACGGUCCAGACUCCUACGGGAGGCAGCAGUAGGGAAACUUCCGCAAUGGGCGAAAGGCUGACGGAGCAACGCCGCGUGAGUGAUGAAGGUCUUCGGAUCGUAAAACUCUGUUAUUAGGGAAGAACAUAUGUGUAAGUAACUGUGCACAGCUUGACGGUACCUAAUCAGAAAGCCACGGCUAACUACGUG
rnacentral:rRNA from 1 species